rnacentral:lncRNA from 1 species
AUAAAACUUAUUAAGCCAAAUUAAUAAAUAUAUUUAAUUUAGAAUAAUACUAUAAGUCUCUAAAUGUAAUUAUCAAUAUGUAAUACAAAGAAAUUAUUGGCAAUGAUUUGUAUGGUGCAAAAUUAGUAGUAGUUAGAUGUUUAUGUUAGAUUUUUAUUUUUUUCCUCGAGAGGACAUUUAUAAAAUCAUCAUAAAAAUUUAUAAUUUUUUGUAUGGAA